rfam:Ictidomys tridecemlineatus contig118424, whole genome shotgun sequence.
GAUAACAGCGCAAUCCUACUCAAGAAUCCAUAUCGACAGUAGGGUUUAAGACCUUGAUAUUGGAUCAGGACAUCAAAAGAAUGUAACUGCUAUUAAUGGUUCAUUUGUUCAAUAAUUAAAGUCCUGAAUGAUCUCAGUUCAGACUGGAGAAAUCUAGGUC